GAUGAACGCUGGCGGCGUGCUUAACACAUGCAAGUCGAACGAGAAUCAACGGAUUGAGGAUUCGUCCAAAUGAAGUUGAGGAAAGUGGCGGACGGAUGAGUAACGCGUGAGGAACCUGCCUCGGAGUGGGGAAUAACAGUUGGAAACAGCUGCUAAUACCGCAUAAGCGCACAGUGCCGCAUGGCGCCGUGUGAAAAACUCCGGUGGUAUGAGAUGGACCCGCGUCUGAUUAGCUGGUUGGUGAGGUAACGGCCCACCAAGGCGACGAUCAGUAGCCGACCUGAGAGGGUGAUCGGCCACAUUGGGACUGAGACACGGCCCAA
rnacentral:rRNA from 1 species